rnacentral:lncRNA from 1 species
AUUUUUCAGAUAUUUUUUGAGUUGGAAGAUAGAAAGAGAAUUCAGAUAUUUCAGAUGAAUUUUCUACAUUGAAAGCUAGAUUACCAGAGUACUGCUUGAGCUCACGUUCUUUGAGUAAAACGUAACAGUAUGCCUUUAAUGCUUUCUGUAAGUGGACUUAAAUACAAAAUAUUACUCCAUUACCUUCAUCUGAUUAUACAGUUUCUCUAUAUUUGAUUCACAUUUCACAGAAUGCAAAAUUGGCUAGCAAGAUAAAUAUAGUAAUAUACGCCAUUAGAUGGGCACAUAAACUGGCUGGAUUUAAUAAUCCUUGUACAUCUGAAUUAGUAACGUUUGUUAACGAAGGAGCAAAGACAAAAUUGGGACAUUUUAUUACUAAAAAAGAUCCUAUUACACCAGACAUUUUGCGAAAGAUUGUUCAUACUUAUGGUCAUCUUAAUAGAAAUCUUAAAAACUUAAGAACUGUUUGUAUGUGUUUAUUAAGCUAUGCAGGUUUUUUAAGGUUUGCAGAUCUAGUUAAUUUGAGAGGUAUCGAUAUAACGAUUUAUUCUACACAGCAAACUCAUAUUUGGCGAAGAGUAAAACUGAUAUUAACAGAGAAGGGAAGGAUGUGGUUAUUUAUAGAACUAAUCUUGUAACUUGUCCUGUCUCUAUGCUAGAACGAUAUCUCAAAUUAGGUAGUAUUACAUCAAAUUUAAUGAAUUUAUUUUUAGAUCUGUUAAUUUUUGUAAGUCUGAUAAUUCUUAUAAACUUAGAAGUACAGGUCCGUUGGCAUACACGAGAGCUCGGGAAAUACUACUUUCAAGCUUACAGAGUAAGGCUUAUAGUAAAAAAAAUUUGGACUGCAUAGUCUCCGUUCAGGAGGGGCAUCGGUGCUCAGCGGCUGGUGUAGAGGACAGAUUUUUCAAAAAGCAUGGUCGGUGGAAAAGUGACACAGCAAAAGACGGUUAUGUUAAAGAGUCGUUGAAAGAUAGACUUUCUGUAAAAAAUAACAUUGGAAUUUUAAUAUGUAUUUUUUCUUUUCUUUUUUCUUUACCCUUUCUUUAUUUUUCGAAGCUUUGCUGCACACUGUCAGGCGAUCAGAUCCUAUACAAAGGUUUUGAGUUUGUAUUGUAAAUAAUUUAUAUUCGCUUGAAGUUAUGAAUUAGAACAUAAAUAUUUCAUGUACACCGGUAUGUAAACAUUGCCACGUGUAUUUGUUUAUACAUUUACACGUGUUUUGAAAGUAUAUAAUAGGUUAAAUGUUUAUUUGUCGAGUUAAAACUGACCAUACUAUUUGAAUAAGGUCAUUUCAAAUAGUUUGUGCUAUACUUUCGGUUUUGUAAAUUAAAGAUAUUGUCAUACGAGGUCCGCUUUUGGUGCAGAAAAGUUUCCCACCCUCCCUUCCAACUUAGUGUAUUUUUCUUGUUUUAUUUUUUUUAAUGUGAAUAAUAAUAUGUGGAAAACAGAAUCUUUAUUUGAUUCAUAAUAUGUAUUUGCGUACAUAAUGAAAAUUGUUUAUAUUUUUGUAGAUUGGUUUUUGUGUUUGUUACCUGCAGCGUCCUAUGCAGACAGUAACACUGAUGAACAUUUAUUGCAUUGCAUUUGUCUUUAAUAAAGCUUUGCUGGACAUUGUCAGGCG